rnacentral:lncRNA from 1 species
AAAGACCUUACUCACAUCUUCCACAUAACUUUUAAUAUAUCUGAUGACUGUUAUCAAGUGCCCUGCUCCGCAAAGCCCCACCAGCUUCCCCAGGCUUUUCUUCUUCAGUCUAUUUAUUCAGACAAAAAAACGACCUCAAUUUCUGUAGCCUUCCCACACAAUGAUCACUUUUCCAGCCCAUUUAUCAUUUUCAUUGAUCACCAAAGAGUCUCUUGGUUUCCAAACUUAUUUAGAAUCCGGACUUCCCCAGAACUGGUCCAUGCAAGUCCAUCUGCAUCAAGAGGCACUCUCGUGUCAAAGUCCAGGGCCUGGGUGGACUCCAAACCCCACUUGAGAUGUGGUGUUAGAGUGUGCGCAAAUCUCCAGAUUAACAUGAGACCUUUGGAAUGAUUGAAUAAGGAAGAAAUCUGGAGAACACAUAUGUGGGGUGCUUGUGAUUAUGGCUCCAACGUUCAAGCUGACACCACUGCUACUGUUUACCGGAGACAGAGCAUGAGGACCCAGCGCUGGCUGGCACAGCUGCAAAAGGUGUUCAGGUCACCCAUGAGUGAGGCGUUUAAGAGGGCGCUGGCUACUGAGACAAGGUAGAUGUUGAGAUCACAGUAGGCAAAUUCUUCUAUAGGAGGGAAAGCAUUAGUUCUUCAGCUUGUUGCAAGAUGUUGAUAUUUAAUGCCUUCAUAAAGAAAAACAUAACUAUAUCACAAAUUUGUUUCACGAAUGUAU